GAUGAAGAACGUAGCGAAAUGCGAUAAGUAAUGUGAAUUGCAGAAUUCAGUGAAUCAUCGAAUCUUUGAACGCACAUUGCGCCCGCUAGUAUUCUGGCGGGCAUGCCUGUCCGAGCGUCAUUUCAACCCUCAAGCCCCCGGGCUUGGUGUUGGGGAUCGGCGAGCCUCCGCGCCCGCCGUCCCCUAAAUCUAGUGGCGGUCUCGCUGUAGCUUCCUCUGCGUAGUAGCACACCUCGCAUUGGGAAACAGCGCGGCCACGCCGUUAAACCCCCAACUUCUGAACGUUUGACCUCGGAUCAGGUAGGAAUACCCGCUGAACUUAAGCAUAUCAAUAAGCGGAGGA
rnacentral:misc_RNA from 1 species